rnacentral:rRNA from 1 species
CCUACGGGUGGCAGCAGUGGGGAAUAUUGGGCAAUGGGCGAAAGCCUGACCCAGCAACGCCGCGUGAAGGAAGAAGGCUUUCGGGUUGUAAACUUCUUUUGACAGGGAAGAGCAGAGGACGGUACCUGGCGAAUAAGCCACGGCUAACUACGUGCCAGCAGCCGCGGUAAUACGUAGGUGGCAAGCGUUGUCCGGAUUUACUGGGUGUAAAGGGCGUGUAGCCGGGCUGACAAGUCAGAUGUGAAAUCCGGGGGCUCAACCCCCGAACUGCAUUUGAAACUGUUGGUCUUGAGUAUCGGAGAGGCAGGCGGAAUUCCUAGUGUAGCGGUGAAAUGCGUAGAUAUUAGGAGGAACACCAGUGGCGAAGGCGGCUCUCUGGACUGUAACUGACACUGAGGCACGAAAGCGUGGGGAGCAAACAGGAUUAGAUACCCGGGUAGUC